rnacentral:rRNA from 1 species
GACGAACGCUGGCGGCGUGCCUAACACAUGCAAGUCGAACGGAACUUUUUUAAAAGAUUUCUUCGGAAUGAAUUUGAUUAAGUUUAGUGGCGACGGGUGAGUAACGCGUGAGUAACCUGCCUCUAAGAGGGGAAUAACAUUCUGAAAAGAAUGCUAAAUACCGCAUAACAUAUAUUUAUCGCAUGGUAGAUAUAUCAAAGAUUUAUCGCUUAGAGAUGGACUCGCGUCCGAUUAGUUAGUUGGUGAGGUAACGGCUCACCAAGACCGCGAUCGGUAGCCGGACUGAGAGGUUGAACGGCCACAUUGGGACUGAGACACGGCCCAGACUCCUACGGGAGGCAGCAGUGGGGGAUAUUGCGCAAUGGGGAAACCCUGACGCAGCAACGCCGCGUGAAGGAUG